CCCAUUGGUUCGUCACGAAAAGACCACGCCUCCUCCUUCUCCCUUAAUACCCGCCCGCGCUGUGGUCGUCCAGACCGCGCGUGGAGCGCGCGGGGGUGCGAGCUGCGCGUUCUUCACGCGCCUCGGACGCGCGCCUUUCCUCGGAGCUGACGCUCCUUCCCGGUCAAUGCGGAGAGCCGUGCGGAAUUCUCCCGUGGCCGCUUGCCUUCACGCUUUUGGGCACUGUGACUCCGCGUUAGCUUGCGCACCAAAGGGCCGCAGACUCAGUUCUGCGUAGCCGCCUCCGUUCUCCGGUUCUGCGCCCCGCCGUAUCCCGGGUUUGCGCAGCGUUUUCGCCCGGCGGCGCUGGCCCUCUGCGCAGCGGCGCCCUGAACCUGGCGCACGCACUGGCGCGCCUCCGGCCCGUGCCGUGCACACGCCCUGUACCUCCCUACGGUGCACACUCGUACGUGCGCGGGACGCGGCCUAGAAGCUCGCUGCGCGCUCCUCGCGGCAUCCUCUUGGCCCCCUCCUUCGCUCAGAGGCUCCCCGGGGAUUGCUCUGACGCGAGUCAAACAAUCCCGGCUGCGAAGCAGCCCCCUGGGGAGGCCUGCUUUCCCCGCAGCUACUCCACCCCACAGCGAACGCAACCUGCCCACCCCAAGCCCUGGGCUGAGACUACACACCCCGCAUUUUCUUCCUGGCUCUGGGAAGCCCGCGGUGGUCCUCCAUUCCUUGGCUCCUCCUUGGUAUACAUUAUACAUAAUAAUCUGAGGGUGAUGGAUGAAAGGAGCCUAAUUCCUCUCCACCACCACUCCCGACCCUGAUGUUCUGGUAGAUCCGCGAUGCUUCUGAAAGUUGUCAGUGCCGUAAGAGGCCAUUCCCUGUCUAUGUGUUCCCGUCUGGAAGAAGAGACAACGCUCUAGUAGUACCUUCGAGAUGCAGUUUUGCUGCCGCCAGUGUCAUGUUUUGAAAUGUUUGUGGAGAAAAGGGACACAACAGACUUGCUGCUCUCGUUUCCCUUCAGGGUCCCGUGAGCUCUGUACACUCCUUUCUUCUUUCUAUUAUAUUUUAAGCCUUCUGGUCGUCAGAUUUACUUACUCUCCGAAGUCGGCUUCAAACGUCUGUUGUGUAUUUUUCAUCCUGCAAACCCAUAUCCCCUAGAAAGAUCUGAUGGCAGAUGUGGCUCUCACAGAGACUUCUGCCUUUUCUAUUCAGCAUUUUAUUGACUUCAGUUUAAUUCUUGACUGCUGAGAACCUGUAUCUUUUGUGUCUCAAAAGUCCAGAUAUUAUCACAUCAUCCAGGAAGGAGCACAAAUAGCAUCCAGCAGUUACACAGCGUGCACUAGGUAGAUUGCUAAAUCCAUGAGGAGCCCAGAGUCUGGGUGCAAACAACACUGUAAAACUUCAGUUAUUGGAAUAUUGAACCAAAAUGACGUCAUUUAGCAUUUGUCCUUGCCAUUCAUUGACUUUGUGACCAUGGCCUCUCCUCUCUUCCAGCUUUCUUUGUGAUCGUCCCCUCCCCUCGAGCUUACUUAGCCUGGCACAAUAAGGAUCUCUUCCUACCUUAGAUAUCCUAACACCACUAGAAAAGGUGGGCUGUAUCUUUUGGAAUGAAAAUUAGACUCAUAGUUUGGAAUAUGGACUUGUGGUGGUAGAAAGAUAUCUGAGGAAGAGGGGUGUACCUCAGAGGUAAAGUGUUGGCUGAGCAUGUUCAAAGCACUGGGAUCAUUCCCUGGUCCUGGUGUAUCUGAGCACACGCACACACACACACACACACAAUUUAAAAGCCUGGCAUAGUAGCACAUACCAGUAAUUUCAGUGCUG
ensembl:lncRNA